CACAUCGUCAUCGCACACGCCAAACAGAUGAGCCCCACAACCCCGACACGCGAUCAUCGGGACAAGCCAAACCUGAGCGCCGCUGCCUGCUCUUCCUGCUCCGUCAUCCUCGCCGUGCGUGCCCGUGCGGCCUUGGCUCAGCCACGUCGUCUUCCUCGCCAUGGACACCCUGACGUCGUCCUCGCCCUAAGCGCCCGCGCUGUCGUUCUCGCCUAUGGGAGUUUUGCCAUCAGGUGGUGGUUGAGAAAAACUCAUGCGUGAGAGGAUCCAUAAUAAUCUUGAAGGUUCUGAUAUCUUUGGUUCUACAUCGAUAAAGUGUGUGUUUUUUUCUUUA